AUUUAGACCAUCAAAGAAGUCAUUACAAAUCUUAAAGUUCUCUUCUUCUCUCAUUUAGCCAACGAUUGUACACAUUUUAUUUACAUUUCAGUUUAGCAUCCAAUCCAAGUUCAUCAGUGCAGAAAAUACUAUCCAGGACUAUACAUGCCAAUCUGUCAUCUGUGGUGACCUUACUCAGCCUACCCUGGCCCUAGAUCAGUAAAAUGUUCAAUAUGCUGGAGUAAGACUCAUAUAAAAGACUCAGGGGAAGAGUGCUUGGGUGGAUGUGGCUCAGGUGGUAGAACGGGUUGUCCACUAAUCGUAGGGUUGGCGGUUCAAUUCCCCUUGACUCCACAUGCCAAAGUGUCCUUGGGAGAGACACUGAACCCCAAGUUGCUCCCAAUGGCAAGCUAGCGCCUUGCAUGGCAGCUCUGCUACCAUUGGUGUGUGUUGCGUGGGUGAAUGAGAAACAGUAGCUGCGUUUAGGUCAAUAAUUAUAUUACUGCUGUCCAUGUAAACGUAGUCAGUGUAAAGUGCUUUGUAGAAUCGCUAAGGUUAAAAAGGUGCUUUAUAAGUGCAGACUAUUUACUUAAAAGGCAUUAACUGCCCAUAUUUAACUACAGUGUAUUGUAGUUUUGUUUGAAUUUGAAACAAUAUAGAUUAAUUAAAAAUAAAUCAGAAUGUAAACCAUUAUACUUUCAAGUACGUUAUAUGAACCAGUUAAAAUGUUUCAUGUAGAUAAUUUCGACCAAUUAACACCAUUCUACACGUAGAUCCCGCCUUGAUUGACAGGUGACAGUGGGAGAGUUUUUUUUACUGCGCAGACGCACCCACAGCCAAAGCGAGGAGAGAAAAGGACACAGAAAAAAUAGAAAAAGGCUAAAUUAUAAUUGUAUAUUAUAAUUAACUGUUUGAAAGAGUGAAAACGAAGGUCAAAACAGUACUACUGCUAGCUGGAGUGCUGAUGAACUUCAGUGUGUAGUUUUAUCCAACGUGAAGCUUGGUUUUUUUGAUUCGAUGGGAAGAAGUUUACAAAAAGUUUUCAACAGUUUGAUGGCGAGCCACCCAAGUAGAACCACUGUGUCUUGAAGGACGGUAUUUUUUAUUGUAUAAUAUUUUGGUUUUUCUGCAAAGGACUACAACUGAAAAUACUCUAGAGAGUAAAAGAAAUUGCAGAGACAUUGAAAAAGACAUUUUAAUUCUGGAUGUGAUUUUAUUUGAUUUAAGUUUUGUUGUAUUCCGUGUAUGUAUAUAUUUUAUCUUAGACUUAACUUAGAGGGUGCACCCUAGGGCAGUGGUUUUCAAAGUGGGGGCUGCGGCCCCCUUGGGGGCCACCAGGGGGCACCUGGGGGGCCUCAACUAUUUGGUGUGAAAAAUAAAUAAAUGUAUGUUUUCUCUUUCUCACUCUCAGACAACCACACACACAAACACACACACACGAUCAAUUCCUAAUGUAAUGUAAAGAUGUAAUUAUUAAUAAAAAAAAAUGUGUUUUAAAGACAUCUUGCAAAAGGGGGGCCUUUUUUAAUGUGUUUUAAAGACAUCUUACAAAAGGGGGGCCUCGGUCAAAUUUUAACACCAUUUGGGGGGCCUUGCCCUGGAAAAGUGUGGGAACCCCUGCCCUAGGGUAUUAUAUAUGUAUUGUACAUGUUUAAUUUCACUCACUCUAAAUUGUAUAUAAAUCAUUCUAUAUUUACCUUA